CUUCUUCAAGUUCCCACUUUUCCUGCAGCACUAGUUCAGAAUGACAGUUUUAGCUGUGUCUCUGUAGCAGUGUGGGAGACAUAAAAAUUAAUUUGAAUAUCUUUUUUUUUUCCUUUCAUCCCUAAGGUCUCUGGGGAUCUGAGCAAUGCAUUUGAAAUGCUUGAUUAUAACAUUCUGUUGGAUAAAUUAACCUCCUAGUGUGUAAUGCUUCAACUCAAAAAUGGAUCACAACGACACUCCUAUAAACUCCUUAAAGACUGAAGAUCCUGCCCAGAGGAUAAAAGAACUGGAAACUACAUAAUGAAUUGCAGAGAGGAGUAUGGUGGAGAAUUAUAGUGUGCCUUGCAUCCGGAGACUAAAUCCCAGUGAAAACUUCUGAGGAGACAUGGCAAAUACUAGAGGGAGGAAGAAGUCAUGAACAACUUGCUGGAUGAGGUUGGUUUUUGUUAUGUUGCUCAAGCUGGUCUCUAACUCCUGGCCUCAAGCAAUCCUCCUGCCCCUGCCACCCAAAGUGGUGGGAUUACAGAAAUGAGUCACCACGCCUGAACCAAUCUUUUUGACUUAUUUUAGAUGAAGUUUCUUGAACUUCUUUCAUGAUGGCUUUAUAAUUUCAUCAAAUUUGGGACAUUUUAAGGUAUUAUUUCUUUGAAUAUUUAUUUUAUUCUUUUCUUCCUCUCUCUAGUAUUUCAAUUAUACAUAUGUUUUUUUCUGCUUAAUAUUUGGCUAUAGUUCUUUGGGAUUAUAUUCAUUUUUCUCAAAUAUUUUUUUCUCCCUCUUUUCUGUGGAUAACAUAAUCUCUAUUAAACUAUAUUCAAAUCUGUUGUUG
rnacentral:lncRNA from 1 species